GACGAGAGGGGCGAGCGUUAUCCGUCUUGAUUGGGCGUAAAGGGUUCGUAGGCGGUCUUAAGGCAGCAUUGGGUGAAAUCCUGGAGCAGAACUCCAGAAACAUCUUUUGAACGCUAAGACUUGAGGGUAACAAAGGUUUGUAUAACUUCAUGUGGAGGGGUGGAAUCCGUAGAUAUAUGAGGGAAUGCCAAGGGCGAAAGCAACAUUCUAGGUUACAUCUGACGCUGAGGAACGAAAGCGUGGGGAGCAAACAGG
rnacentral:rRNA from 1 species